UACGGAGGGUGCAAGCGUUAUCCGGACUUAUUGGGUUUAAAGGGUCCGUAGGCGGGUUAUUAAGUCAGUGGUGAAAUCUCAUAGCUCAACUAUGAAACUGCCAUUGACACUGAUAGUCUUGAGUAUAUUUGAAGUAGCUGGAAUAAGUAGUGUAGCGGUGAAAUGCAUAGAUAUACUUAGAACACCAAUAGCGAAGGCGUUAAAUCAAGUAAGGAUCGACUCGAGGGACGAGAGCGUA
rnacentral:rRNA from 1 species